ensembl:snRNA U6 U6 spliceosomal RNA
AUGUUCACUUUGGCAGCACAUAUACUAAAAUUGGAACGAUACAGAGAUUAGCACGGCCCCUGCAGGAGGAUGAAACACAAAUUUGUGAAGCAUUCCAUAUUUUU